CCUACGGGAGGCAGCAGUGAGGAAUAUUGGUCAAUGGACGAGAGUCUGAACCAGCCAAGUAGCGUGAAGGAUGACUGCCCUAUGGGUUGUAAACUUCUUUUAUAUGGGAAUAAAACGUUCCACGUGUGGGAUUUUGUAUGUACCAUAUGAAUAAGGAACAGCUAACUCCGUGCCAGCAGCCGCGGUAAUACGGAGGGUCCGAGCGUUAUCCGGAUUUAUUGGGUUUAAAGGGAGCGUAGGUGGAUUGUUAAGUCAGUUGUGAAAGUUUGCGGCUCAACCGUAGAAUUGCAGUUGAAACUGGCAGUCUUGAGUACAGUAGAGGUGGGCGGAAUUCGUGGUGUAGCGGUGAAAUGCGUAGAUAUCACGAAGAACUCCGAUUGCGAAGGCAGUUCACUGGACUGCAACUGACACUGAGGCUCGAAAGUGUGGGUAUCAAACAGGAUUAGAUACCCGAGUAGUC
rnacentral:rRNA from 1 species